rnacentral:rRNA from 1 species
UACAGAGGUCCCAAGCGUUGUUCGGAGUUACUGGGCGUAAAGAGUGCGUAGGUGGUGCCCUAAGUCUGUUGUGAAAUCUCCCGGCUUAACUGGGAGGGUGCGGUGGAAACUGGGGUGCUUGAGUGUGGGAGAGGUAAGCGGAAUUCCUGGUGUAGCGGUGAAAUGCGUAGAUAUCAGGAGGAACACCGGUGGUGUAGACGGCUUACUGGACCACGACUGACACUGAGGCACGAAAGCGUGGGUAGCAAACAGG